AUCAUGCACUCGUUAUUUUAAAUUUAUAUCUGACACUUAUUUGCCUUAAUUAGCACUUGGAAUGUCACAGGGGCAAUCUUUCACAAAGUGUUGAGUGCUUAUGCACUAAUAGCAGGUGUUAUUCAAAUGUCUAUAGGGUUGUUCACCAUGCAAGCGACCAUAAUACUGACAUGGUUCGGAAGGUCGAGUAGGUUAUCCAAUAAGUGGAGGAGAGGGGGGAGGGAUAACUCGAGGUUUUUAUCAGGAUGGCUAUUUACUAGGUCAGACAGUCUUU
rnacentral:lncRNA from 1 species